CGAUACCACAUCGAAUGCGCCGGCUCUCGUCCGAUCAACGAGGUUAAGCGGCGCCGGCGCGAUCGGUACUUGGAUGGGUGACCGACCGGGAACACUGUGUGACGUU